GCAGAACGCGAAGAACCUUACCUACUCUUGACAUCCACGGAACUUUUCAGAGAUGAAUUGGUGCCUUCGGGAACCGUGAGACAGGUGCUGCAUGGCUGUCGUCAGCUCGUGUUGUGAAAUGUUGGGUUAAGUCCCGCAACGAGCGCAACCCUUAUCCUUUGUUGCCAGCGGUUAGGCCGGGAACUCAAAGGGGACUGCCAGUGAUAAACUGGAGGAAGGUGGGGAUGACGUCAAGUCAUCAUGGCCCUUACGAGUAGGGCUACACACGUGCUACAAUGGCGCAUAUAAAGAGAAGCGACCUCGCGAGAGCAAGCGGACCUCAUAAAGUGCGUCGUAGUCCGGAUUGGAGUCUGCAACUCGACUCCAUGAAGUCGGAAUCGCUAGUAAUCGUAGAUCAGAAUGCUACGGUGAAUACGUUCCCGGGUCUUGUACACACCG
rnacentral:rRNA from 1 species